AAACAUUACGGGAAAUGAACAUUACGUGUCUGUUGAGAAGACUCUUGUCUCUGUUGCUAAGCUCAAUCACUGUUUCUUUCUCUCUCACCAAAGGCACUGGGUGUUUCAUAUUAAAUUAUAGAAAACUGGGAAGAUUGUUUCUACUUUCAACGUUUCUCCUUCUCAAAGCAGUGCAUAAAACUUGACUCUUGAGAAGUGAGAAUCUUGAGGAGAGGCGAUGUCAGGGACUGCUCUGAGCAACAGUUGUUCACUGGAAUGAAGAUGGGAAGUUAGGCGGAUUCAAGGUGUCGUCUCUGUUAUUAGGAGACUUAACGGCACUUCCUCCUGAUAACACUACUUGACACUUCUGAUCUCCCUAAUUACGCUCAGCAUACUGUUCCUAUAUUUUCACUUCCCCAAGAGUGGUUGUGGUGUGAAAUCCUGGUGUGGAAACGCCACAAAAUCCAAGGCCAGAACAAUCGAUAUUUUUGCAAUAAUCCCAUGACAAAGGACUCAAAGCUUCAGGGUGCUAGAAGAAUAGUAACUGAGAAUGGCCCGAUCUUGCUCUCGAGGCACGGAAAUUCACAGCAAAAAUCUUGGGUGAAGAUACGGAACUCAACGAGCCUGUCGCUGCUGCGACAGAAAAUCCUAACCCUCUCCUUCAAGCGACAUCUCUGAAGAUUCAGAACAAGACCUGGAAUCUAAGGCAGAACUGUAAAUGCAGGUUCCUCUAAUUUCAAAAGAAGAGAAGAAAACUUUAUUGCUAGGUAAGGUUUCUAGUUUUUUUUUUUUGAAGUACCAGUUUCAAAGACACAUUUCAGCAAAACUGUCCUGGGAGAGUGAAGAAUCAACUAUAGUUUGCAUUUUUGCAAUGUUCUAAACUAGAUAGGCUCAACAUUUUGUGAAGUAGAUCAACCUUGUGCAGAAGAAUAAUCUCAGUAUAGUUAUGAUUAAGUUUCACUACUUUUGCAAUUUGCAAAUGAUAAUAAAA